CAUUAGAUGGCUGAAAGCAAGCACUGGUCUCUUAAACCACUUCAUAAUAGAAUAGCUCCUAUUUCUAAUG
rnacentral:tRNA from 1 species